AUGAUAUACUGUAGCAAUUUUCUUGAGUUAAAUUAGGAUUUUUUGAACUCUUGAUUUCCCUGUCAUAUAUAUAUAUAUAUAAACUAAAUAUUAUAUAAAGUUAGAGUCUAUAGCGACCAUGUUAAUAUUUGCAUUGGCAUGGCACUGAAUAUAGAACUCUAAGUCUGGCUUUCUAUAUUUAGUGACACACACCUUUAAUACCAGCACCAGGGAGGCAGGUGGAUGCCUGUGAGUUCAAGACAAGACCAGUGUGAUCUACAAGAGCGAGUUCCAGGAUAGACUCUGUACUCGGACAGGCUCUGUAAAUGUUGUGCUUUGUGUAUGAACAUGAUAUUGUAGGUAGAGCAUGCAUAGUAGAAAAUGGCACUUGGGAAAUUGUCCUUCUACCCUACCAUUAUAAUAUUUGCUUAUGCUCAGAAAGGAUGAGUAUUUUUGUGACUCUUCUUAUUUUGCUCAAAUUCAUUUGUCCAAAUGGCUUUUAAAAUAAUGCAUUAUCAGUGCCCGAUUUUCUGCUGGGCUUGAUAGUUGUGUAAUGCUUUCACUUACAUAGUAUACUGACAUUAUUUCUUAGAUCUCUUUUGAUUUCACUAGUGAUUCCUGUUUAUAACUUUAAGCCUUGAAUUCAUUCUUGAGUUGGCCCAGUAAAAAAAUACAGAUACUUUCAUAGAGUUAGGGGAACUUCUCUUUUGAAGAUGUCAGUAUAUUCUUAGCAAUUAUUAUUAAUUAGUGAUUUAUUUUUUUCAUUGGAAUAACAGUUCAGAAUCAAAUAUUUGCAAAUGCAUUCUUUUCUGAGUUUAUCAACUUGUCCCUGCACUACAAAUUGCAUUAGUUUAGUACUUGAAUCUAUUUCAAAGGUUUUGAAAAGUAGGUUUAUGUGAACAAUUUUUCAGGUAUGCUCAUUUUUUAAAAUUUAAAUUAACAGAAACUGCUAAAAGCAGCACCAUUUUUCUUUAUUUAUCAUGCAGCAUGUACACAUAAUUUAAUUAUAGACACUUAUGACUACAACACAAGAAUUCAUAGAAACAUAGAUCUUUGUGAGUUUAAUAUGAAAUAUUAUUGGUGUGCUAUUUCUUAUGCCAUGGUAAUUAUUUUGCUUUACACUAAAAUAAACAUGUGGAAACAUAUAAUUUAUAUUGUAACUAUAGAAAUUCUCUGCCAGAGUUCAUGACUUUUUGAAACUUCAAGUUGUUAAUAUUGCUUUUUCAGGUAAAGCCUUAAUAUGUUUCCUCCUAAAAUUUAAGUCUGUAAUAUAUACUCACUACUUUCUGAAAAACUGUGGUUGACAAGAGUGAGUUGGUCCAAAUGUGCUAAUAGUGUAUCUAGACAUGAAUGUAAGUAUGUUGAAAGAAUACAUGGGUUUUUGUGAGUGAGAGGACCUUUUGCGAUCCUUACACACUCCACUGCAGAGUUGGGGAAAGAGAUUGGUAGAGUCCUGGCAAUUCAUGUUGACAGCUGUUGCUUAAUACACCUGUGUGGUUACUGGAUCACUGGUGCUGAACAGCAAUGGAAUGAACUCUGAAGAACUGAAGAACUUGCUGCUUUGAGAGAUGGAAAUUUGCCCUAGGAGGAAACUGAGAGGGAACCUUAUUGCAAGCAUUUCUGUAACUGAUGGUUCCUGGAUGAUACCUGAAGGUUUUUCUACAACAGGGAAGCAGAUACUUUCUCAAGCAAUAACAGCAUGUCUGCUACCAGCUGUCCCUGUGAUGCUCUUAUUUCACCAUGAAUAUCUUCAAGCAGCAGAUACCAACAGUGUAGAAGGGUGCCCAGCAGGAGUGAUGACUCUCUUGGACACUGUGAUAUCAGGAUACAUUUGACUUAUUGUCCUGGGUAGUCUUCUGUAGGAUCCUAUUGAACUGAAUCUUUGUAACAUAUGACGAAAUAAUUGGACAGUCCAACCAGAUGUAUCUUAAUAUCUGUGAUCUUUGUACAGGGAGAAUAAUGAAAGGUUUCUGCUGAGGUAUUGCAGACAAAUCAAAAUGUCA